rnacentral:lncRNA from 1 species
CUGUUAUCUGAACAAGACCAAAGUGAAAUCUUUCUCUUUUGCAGACAGCUUGUUCUCAUUUCACCAUGACAAAAAGACAGUAUUCUGAAACUCUAUCUGGUUUUAUCUAAGAUAGUCUUGUUUAUACUUGUAGUCUUCUAUCAGAGGUCUUCUGUACUAAGGAGCCUCAAUCAAGCAGUGUGACAUACAUAAGCAACACCAGAUCCUGAUAUGAAGAACUUAUCUCACAGACUACAGCAGAUACUGCAGACAAACAGGAAAAUAUGAUGACCAAAGGCAUGGAUUAGAAAAUGGAUUGCAUCAAUCCCAUUUCUGUACAAGCACAGAAGAUAUUUUAGAAGGCUGCAUAUAUUUAAGGCUAACAAGGCACAUCUGCUCACCAUCUCAAGGUAAGUGUCAUUGUUUUGAGGAAACUAUAUAUCACAUUUAGUACUAAUCUGCUUAAUCUGUGCAUGCCAGAAAACAGCUUGGUGAAUUUACUGACUGUAUGCAUACUGUGAGAUUUUGUUA